rnacentral:misc_RNA from 1 species
UGAGGACAUAAUGGAGCCAGAGGUAUAUACUCCUUAAUAUGAAUGUGAUUUUUCUCAAAUAUGGUGUUGCUAGUUUAAUUUUGAAUUUUUGGGUUCAUAAUAAAAUCAAUUUUGACAAGUGCCUGUACGUGUUUUGGCAGCCAUUGAUAAUGAUUUGGAAUUUUGCAUGAUAAUUGAUGACCUAUGUGGUGAUUGUGGCAUCCAUUUGAUUGAUCCAAUAUUGCAAAGAUUGAAGCCCAUAUUAUGCUACACUUCUUAUUAUAAUUAUUGUUCUAAUGGGAAAUAUAACUAUCUAGUACCAUGAUCUUUUGGUUAGGAUCUUGAGCUAGAUCUUUUAUUGGACUGUCCACAAUGGGGUCAAUCUGUGUUUUUCCUUUCAUUUUCUUCUUUUUUAAUAGCUUGUAAUCAACUAAAUGAGUUCAGGACUACUAUUGAAAAACUCUCAUUGAUAAGAUUUGCUUUCUUGCCAGAUGCAUGAAUGAUUCAUAUAGGUCUUGAUUUGAUGAAUUUUCAAGGGUACAACAAAAUGGUCAUUGGUGACACUGAGCUUUAAACAUUGCAAAUUUUAAAAGAUUUCAAUGCGGGAUUGUCUUUAUAUGGGGAUAAGGCAAAGCCAAAGACUUUUGCAGCACGUUUUGCAUCUCCAGAUGGGUAUAUUAGUUCAAAUCAAGUUCCCUAUUUUUUGAUGUAUUUAUUUACCUAACUUUUCACUGGCUUAAAAUGUUUAAAAACUUAUUUUUGUCUGUUAUGCUUCACUUAUUUUUGAGAAAAUUGGUUCUUGUAAUGUUUGAUUACUUCCUUUGGUCUUUGUGAAACUCAUAUUUAAGCUUUUGUGUGAUUUUCUAUGGCUUUUGCUCAUACAGAUCUGAAGUUCUGAGUGUGGUCAUUCGCCCCUCCAAUCAACUCAAGAUCACUUUCUUGGAGGUAUCAUAGAAAUUAUGCUAUUUUUUUUUUCUGGUACAUAGAAACUUUGAGAAGAUAUUUUUACCAUUACAAACCUCUGAAUUAUGCUUUUUGCUUGUGGACAUCUACAGUAAUUUAACGUGAUCCCUUAUUACAUAACUAAUAUCCACAACAUUUAAAAGUUCACAAUAAUAUUAAUACUUCUGCUAAACAUCAUAUCUUCAUGGUGAAAUGCCACAGAUUUCCCUUAUCUUAACCUAGUUAUGGGGCUUAGUGUUCGAUAGGGUGCCAUGAGAAAUUCAAUUCCCUGACUAUAAAAUCCACAACCUUUAACCACAAAAAUAAGUUGCUUUUUACUUAAAAUCCUUAUAAAAUAAUUUAUUCCUUUUUUAUUGUCUCUCUUUUUUUUGGGCUAAAAGAAAACUAAUUAACAUGGAUGAUUAAUUCCAUAGAUCCCUAAUUUGAAAGUUGGUUCAAUUUGAGAUCAUAUAGAAUAACUCCGCAAAGAACUUAUGUAGUGUUGCUAACUUGAACAGGCUAAGGAUAUAACUGAUAUAGGUUCACUGAGGGAGGCAGCAAAAAUCUUUGUUCCAGGUGGAGCAACUUUAUACUCUGCUCGAACAAUAAAAAUAAAGGAAGAGGAAGGUUUCAGGACUUAUUAUUUUUAUGAAUUUGGUAGAGAAGAACAACAUGUGGCACUAGUAGCUGCAGUUAACAGUGGAAAGGCAAUUAUUGCUGGAGCUACUGCACCGCAGUCUAAAUGGGACAGUGAUGGUGUUAGGCUUCGCUCUGCUGCUAUAUCAUUGACAGUUCUUUAGUUGGCUGCCAGUAGCUCAUUUUCCAGGUUUGUAAAUUACAUGUUUUAUUAUCACCCUAUUUAUUUAGCUUUCUUCGCUCCACUCCGCUAUAUGUUGUGAUCAAGUCAUUGCAACUUAAAAUCCAGAGUUCAGGUUAACAAUGUUCUGACCUGCCUUCUCGGCUUGACACUGAAGAGGUCAAGCCUCAAAUUCAAUCUUUUGGAAGUAGAGAUCGAAUAGUACAAAUUUGGCAGAACUUUCUGACCUUGCUUUUGGAAGUUUUUUUGCCUCAGAAAUAUACAGAAACUGAAUAAUUUACAUUCCAUCUAACAUGCUGCUGCUUAUUUUUCUCCGUUUUCUGGUUGGUUUCCAGACUAUUGGUCCUUGACAUUCUUUAUCUAAUGACAUGGCAUUACUAAUGCUGAACAAUCUGAAUAUUAGAUUGAAGAGGCUUCCUAUUCCUAACAAUGCCACAAUCGCAGAGACAGCAUUUCAGAUUCUCCUUCAUUUAUCCUGCAUGGGAAUGAUUCGUCGCGAGUCAUGAGAGCUUGGAAAUUAUAGAAAGAAAAUUUUGAAUUCAGGGAUUUGCAAUUGUAUUGUACGACAAUAACAUUUUUUUAGUUUAAUAUUUUCUGUUCCUUCAACAUCUUUCAUAUUUGGUUAGCUCAUUUAUUUAUAUAUUCUAUUGCAUUUUUCAUAGAGUUUUUUGGUUCUUUCAAAAUAGUGUAGCAACAAAAGGGGUGGAAAAG